GGUUGGGAGGGCUGCAUUGUCGGUCCGCUGGGAAAAAUUCCCACCUGGCUA
rnacentral:ncRNA from 1 species